rnacentral:rRNA from 1 species
AGUGAACGCUGGCGGUAGGCCUAACACAUGCAAGUCGAACGGCAGCACAGUAAGAGCUUGCUCUUACGGGUGGCGAGUGGCGGACGGGUGAGGCAUACAUCGGAAUCUACUUUUUCGUGGGGGAUAACGUAGGGAAACUUACGCUAAUACCGCAUACGACCUACGGGUGAAAGCAGGGGAUCUUCGGACCUUGCGCGAUUGAAUGAGCCGAUGUCGGAUUAGCUAGUUGGCGGGGUAAAGGCCCACCAAGGCGACGAUCCGUAGCUGGUCUGAGAGGAUGAUCAGCCACACGGGAACUGAGACACGGUCCAGACUCCUACGGGGGGCAGCAGUGGGGAAUAUUGGACAAUGGGCGCAAGCCUGGUCCAGCCAUACCGCGUGGGUGAAGAAGGCCUUCGGGUUGUAAAGCCCUUUUGUUGGGAAAGAAAAGCAGCAGGUUAAUACCCCGCUGUUCUGACGGUACCCAAAGAAUAAGCACCGGCUAACUUCGUG